rfam:Homo sapiens chromosome X, GRCh38 reference primary assembly.
GCCGGGCGUGGUGGCUCACGCCUGUAAUCCCAGCAUUUCGGGAGGCCGAGGCGGGUGGAUCACCUGAGGUCGGGAGUUCAAGACCAGCCUGACCAACAUGGAGAAAUCCCGUCUCUG